rnacentral:rRNA from 1 species
GUGGGCCUACGGGGCGCAGCAGUGAGGAAUAUUGGUCAAUGGGCGGAAGCCUGAACCAGCCAAGUCGCGUGAGGGAAGAAGGCCCUGCGGGUCGCAGACCUCUUUGGACGGGGAGCAAGGCCGCCGACGUGUCGGCGGAAGGAGAGUACCCGUAGAACAAGCAUCGGCUAACUCCGUGCCAGCAGCCGCGGUAAUACGGAGGAUGCGAGCGUUAUCCGGAUUUAUUGGGUUUAAAGGGUGCGUAGGCGGGCAUUUAAGCCGGCGGGCAACUGUCGGGGCUCAACCCCGGGCUGCCGGCGG